AACCCUGAUGCAGCUAUACCGUGUGUGUGAAGAAGGCCUUAGGGUUGUAAAGCACUUUCAAUGGGGAAGAAUUUAAUAUUGCUAAUAUCGAUAUUAAUUGACGUUACCUAUAUAAGAAGCACCGGCUAACUCCGUGCCAGCAGCCGCGGUAAUACGGAGGGUGCAAGCGUUAAUCGGAAUUACUGGGCGUAAAGAGUACGUAGGUGGUUUGUUAAGUCAGAUGUGAAAUCCCUGAGCUUAACUUAGGAACUGCAUUUGAAACUAAUAAACUAGAGUUUCGUAGAGGGGGGUAGAAUUCCAGGUGUAGCGGUGAAAUGCGUAGAGAUCUGGAGGAAUACCAGUGGCGAAGGCGACCCCCUGGACGGAAACUGACACUCAGGCACGAAAGCAUGGGGAGCAAACAGGAUUAGAUACCCUGGUAGUCCAUGCCGUAAACGAUGUCGAUUUGAA
rnacentral:rRNA from 1 species